rnacentral:rRNA from 1 species
GACGAACGCUGGCGGCGUGCUUAACACAUGCAAGUCGAACGCUGAAGCUCAGCUUGCUGGGUGGAUGAGUGGCGAACGGGUGAGUAACACGUGAGUAACCUGCCCUCUUCUUUGGGAUAACGCCCGGAAACGGGUGCUAAUACUGGAUAUUCACUGAUUCUCGCAUGGGGGUUGGUGGAAAGGUUUUUUCUGGUGGGGGAUGGGCUCGCGGCCUAUCAGCUUGUUGGUGGGGUGAUGGCCUACCAAGGCUUUGACGGGUAGCCGGCCUGAGAGGGUGACCGGUCACAUUGGGACUGAGAUACGGCCCAGACUCCUACGGGAGGCAGCAGUGGGGAAUAUUGCACAAUGGGCGAAAGCCUGAUGCAGCGACGCCGCGUGAGGGAUGGAGGCCUUCGGGUUGUAAACCUCUUUCGCUCAUGGUCAAGCCGCAGCGUGGGGUUGUGGUGAGGGUAGUGGGUAAAGAAGCGCCGGCUAACUACGUG